GUCGGGAGUGAGACUAGAGUCUCCCACCUGAGCGUAACAACCUCCUCUCGCCUCUGCCGCCACUAAUGAUGUUUAUUAAAAAAAAACAUCCUUUCCGAAAAAAUAGAAAUGUCACCGCAAUGUGAAGCUUGGUGAACAUUUUGAAGGCGAGCCUCUGUUGAGUGUCGGAGCCCACCACCACCACCACCACCAACCACGGAGCGGCUGUCACCCGGAAGGCCGCCGCCGCUGCCGCUCGCCGCACCGGGUGGGGAUUGAACUUUUCUCUCCCCGACGCAUGGAGGCAACCAGCACGUAGACGCGCCUUCCAACCCGCGGUGGAAUUGACUGUCAUUCGGUAAGAAUGGCCUCCUUGGGCAUCGGCCGCGAGGAGUGCUUGGCAACUGUAAGAGGUCUGGAGCUGAGGGCUGGUCAGAAGGAGGCCAGACUGCUGUCACUUAUUGAACGUGGGGGCGAGUUUAUACUCGGCGUUCUGGCCACCCCUGACGCUGUGGUGGCUCGUCCGGUGGCCCAGCUGUCCAUACCCAUCAACCGUAAAUUCCAAAUUGUCAAAGAGGCCGAGGAGGCUUUUCUCAUUGACUUCUCCCUGGUUGCUGGGCUCAGGAUACGCAUAAAAGGAGAUAAAGCCCCAGAACUCCAGUUGGAACUCCAGGAUGACGAGCGCACGCAGACUUUCCUCACGCAGGUGAUAAGCGCCCAACAACAAGUUCAGUCGAAUCGCUCCAGCCCUGGCGUGAUGGAUCACGAUGCACUAACACCUCAAAGAGGUACAGUACCCAACCCGCCUCAGCAUGGACACAAGACUGCCAACUGUGUGGACUCUGGAGUCAACCUGCCGAGUACGACCAGCGCACUGCCUCCUAGCUUCAAUAGCAGCACAUCCACACAUCGGGCUAAUGCAGCUCAGUCACUCGCCUCAGACUUUGGCUUUGAGGACAACUUCGAUCACACCUUGAAAGUGGAGGAAAAGAAGAACCAGCAGAACAGGAUGGCGGCCCCAAGGGACCCUCCUCCGGUUCCCCCUCUGCCUCCGCGCAAAGCCUCCUUCCCUCCCUCUUAUCAGCUGCCUGCGCCCCCGCCCCCUAAAGAGAGAGCCGUCUCCUCUCAAGCCAAAGACAACUUCAGACCAGAUAGUUUCCGACCGGGCUUCGAGCGGGACAGGCCGGCGUCUUGGUCCGACAGUCCCACCACAAACACGAUGAGACAGGCCAUGUUCUCCAGCCAGGCGGGACAGAGGGAGUACCUCAUCAAACGCCGCCUGGGAAAGAAGGAAAACGAAUAUGUGGACCUCCAGAACUUCAGGCUCUUCACUGGCACUUGGAAUGUGAACGGGCAGUCUCCAGACAGCAGCCUUGAGUCCUGGCUCUCUUGUGACCCAGAACCUCCUGAUAUGUACGCCCUGGGUUUCCAAGAAUUGGACCUGAGCACUGAAGCUUUCUUCUACAUGGACUCCUCCAAGGAGCAGCAGUGGGUGGAGGCAGUUGAGAGAGGCCUACACCCUAAAGCACAAUAUAAGAGGGUUCGCAUCAAUAGACUGGUUGGCAUGAUGUUGGUGGUCUAUGUCAAUAAGAAACACAAGAACAUCAUCAAAGAAGUGGCCGCAGAACACGUCGGCACGGGAAUCAUGGGCAAAAUGGGGAACAAAGGAGGGGUGGCAGUGAGGUUUGUGUUCCACAACACGAGCUUCUGCAUCGUCAACUCGCAUCUGGCGGCACACGUGGAAGAUUUUGAGCGCCGCAACCAAGACUAUAAAGACAUUUGCGCUCGCAUGACCUUCCACCUACUGGACCACCCCCCUCUGAGUAUCCACAAGCACGAUGUGGUCAUCUGGUUUGGGGAUUUGAACUAUCGCCUCUUCAUGUACGACGCUGCUGAGGUCAAACGCCUCAUCUCCCAGAAUGAGCUGAAAAAGCUUCAGGAGUUUGAUCAGCUGAACAUUCAGAGGCAGACCAAAAGAGCCUUCACUGACUUCAUGGAAGGAGAGAUCAACUUCAUCCCAACGUACAAGUACGAUUCCAGAACGGACCGUUGGGACUCCAGCGGAAAGUGUCGUGUUCCAGCGUGGUGUGACAGGAUCCUGUGGCGGGGCAACAAUGUCAAGCAGCUCAAAUACCGCAGUCACAUGGAGCUGCAAACCAGUGACCACAAACCGGUCAGCUCCAUCUUCAAAAUAGGGGUGAAGGUGGUCAAUGAGCAGCGCCACAAAAAGGUGUUUGAGGAGAUUGUUCGUGCUAUGGACAGAAUGGAGAACGAUUUCCUUCCGUCUGUGACGCUGAGCAGGAGAGAGUUUACGUUUGAGAAUGUAAAGUUCCGGCAGCUCGAGAGGGAGCGUUUACUCAUAAAGAAUGACGGGCAGGUGCCCUGUCACUUUGCUUUCAUCCCCAAACUCAACGACUCGCAGUACUGCAAGUCUUGGCUGCGUGCUGAGCCGAGCGAGGGAUUCUUGGAACCAAAUGAGACCCUCGAGAUCUAUCUGGAGGUCUACGUCAGUAAAGACUCCGUCACGCUGCUCAACUCCGGCGAGGACUCCAUCGAAGACAUCCUGGUGCUCCACCUGGACCGAGGCAAGGACUACUUCAUCACCAUCUCGGGCAACUACCUGCCCAGCUGCUUCGGCACCUCGCUGGAGACCCUGUGUCGGAUGAAGAAGCCCAUCAGAGAGAUCCCCAUCACCAAACUCAUCGACUUGGAACGGUCAAAGAUGAACUUCCUGAUGGGGGAUGCCACAGGCACAGAGGACACACCUCUCAAAAUCCCCAAGGAGAUGUGGAUCCUGGUCAACCAUCUCUUUACAAAGGCUUGUGAUCAGGAGGACCUGUUCCAAACACCAGGAUUAAAGGAGGAGCUGCAGGCCAUCAUUGACAGUCUGGAUACCAGCAUUCCAGACACCAUCCCUGGCUGCAACCAUUCCGUGGCCGAGGCUCUACUGAUCUUCUUAGAGGCCUUGCCGGAGCCCGUGGUGUGCUACGAGCUCUACCAACGCUGCCUAGACUGUGCCCACGACAGCCGCCUAUGCAAACAGUUGAUUUCCCAGCUGCCCCGUACCCACCGUAACGUGUUCCGCUACUUGAUGGCUUUCCUGAAGGAGCUGCUCAAGCACGUGCACAACAACAACCUAACAGCCAGCCUUAUAGCCACCCUCUUUGCCAGCCUUCUCAUCCGACCUCCUCCCAGCAUGGCGAACCGGCAGACAUCCCACGACCGCCAGAAAGCCAUCAACUUUAUUCUGGGAUUCCUGAUGGCGGGAGAUGAUGAGUAGUAACGCCACGUCGCCGGAAUCCACCUCGAGCCUUUACAGUGUCUCAACAGGGGCUGAAUAAGACUUUUUUUUUUCAUCCCCUCACAAACUCUCAUGUUGGAGAUCCCCGAUCCUUCAUGCUUUCACCAAGUAUCGACCAGUUUGGCCACUUGGCUGCGUUCACAAGCACUUUGGAGCGGUGUGCACUUUCUGAGACCUCCAAGUACAGACUUGUCCUCUUUCCUAACCGACCCAAAUCUGCACCGAAGAGAGCGGCGCAGACGUGACAACACAGCAAGAGCCUCUGGUGUUCUAGCAUACCUCUCAGAGAAGUUUUGGCGGACAAUCGCUUUACUUGAGAUGCGUCGUCCGUUUUAAUUGAAGGGGAUCAGACGACUGUAUCUCUUAGCUCUUAUUUAUGCGUUUCUAUUUCAACGACGUAUGACGUGGCGCACACUUACGUCGGAUAAAUGCUGAUACACCGUUUAUGUGUUCCGUCUGACACUGCAUCCUUGCCAUAGAUAAUAGGGCUCAGGGCUAUUCAACUGGGGGCCAAAUCCGGCCCGGGAAUGACACUACCCCGGCCCCCCCGAGUUCAGUGCAAAACUUUGGGAGACAAACAUUUUUGCAGCAAAUUCUUAAAAACAGGAGUGCUCCUGUUGUCUAGAGGAACCCGGACCACCGUAAACACAUCAGCACAUCCUUGCAUUGACAACAUCACCUUGCUAGCAAACAGAAGACUGGGGUCCAAACUUGUGAUUUACAUAACUGAGGCGUUCCUCAAGGCACCCCUUUAGGUCCUCUCCUUUUAGGCAGUGAUUUAUAUAACUAAGGUGCUGCUGUAGCUUCUUCACUUCCGAUGUAGUCAGUAGUCAUUUGUUCAAAUUCUUUAGUCAUACUGGUGGUGUUCCUCAAGGCUCCGUUUUUAGGUCCUCUCCUUUUUGGCAGUCCAUCCAUCCAUUUAUUUUCUACCGCUUAUUCCCUUUGGGGUCGCGGGGGGCGCUGGAGCCUAUCUCAGCUACAAUCGGGCGGAAGGCGGGGUACACCCUGGACAAGUCGCCAUCUCAUCGCAGGGCCAACACAGAUAGACAACAUUCACAGUGAUUGAUGUAAAUAAGGUGUUGCUGUCGCUUCUUUACUUCCGAUGCAGUCCGUAGUCAUUUUUGUUUAUCGUCUUUAGGCAUACUAGUGGUGUUCCUCAAGGCUCCGUUUCAGGUCCUCUCUUUUUCAUCAUUCGGGGCCAUUCCAGGAGAGGUCCCCAAGUUCAUUUAAAAGACAAUGUUGCAGCAGAUUCUUAAAAACACUAUAGGUGAUCUUUGACGAGAUUUUGUGCAGAAGUAUUCUGACAAAAUAAAUCAAAGAGGACACUGGUUCUGCGGAAUAUGUCAAAUGAGUCUAACAGUGAAGGGAGAAGUCCAGGUUUGCUUCCUGGAAAUGUGGCCCCUGAAAGGAUUUAGUGUAGAUGAACCUCGAUGCAUUAGUUUUAGUGAAUGAUACGUGGACCAAUUCAGUGACACUAUGUUGGUGUGCCGCGACACAGUGGUUGGGAAUCCCCGCCACGGAGAACAUUUCGUCUUGGAGCGUUUGCUGUGUUUUUUUUGUCCUCGUCUUUUUUUGGGAGCCUUACAUCAAGUUUGUCCUGUUCGUCCGGAGUUACGCAACAAGUGCUAUAAUUGAUACACUGACUUCCUGCUUCAACGUUGCAACCUGCCGUCCUCAAGGCUGUAAAUAGUGACUGUUUGGCGUGGUCCUUUGUCGUUAUGAAAAUAUGGUACUAUCUAUACCAGGCCUGGGCAAUUAUUUUGACUUGGGGGGGCCAAAUUUAGAGAAGAAAAUGUGUCUGGGGGCCGUUAUAUCCAUUUUUAGGAACACUAAUACAAAACCUCACAAUAAUGUCUGAUUGAAUGCUAAAAACUUUAUGACACACUGCUUGGUGCCUCGUCUGAGCUGUCAGACUAAUUGGAUUAACUAAUUAGAUGACCAUAGUAACUAAUUAGAUGACCAUAGUAACUCAUUAGAUGACCACAGUACUCAUUAGAUGACCAUAGUAACUAUUUAGAUGACCAUAGUAACUCAUGAGAUGACCAUAGCAACUCAUGAGAUGACCAUAGUAACUCAUGAGAUGACUAUAGUAACUCAUUAGAUGACCAUAGUAACUCAUUAGAUGACCAUAGUAACUAAUUAGAUGACCAUAGUAACUCAUGAGAUGACCAUAGUAACUCAUUAGAUGACCAUAGUAACUCAUGAGAUGACCAUAGUAACUCAUGAGAUGACCAUAGUAACUCAUUAUAUGACCAUAGUAACUCAUGAGAUGACCAUAGUAACUCAUGAGAUGACCAUAGUAACUCAUGAGAUGACCAUAGUAACUCAUUAGAUGACCAUAGUAGCUCAUUAGAUGACCAUAGUAACUAAAUAAAUGACCAUAGUAACUCAUGAGAUGACCAUAGUAACUCAUGAGAUGACCAUAGUAACUCAGGAGAUGACCAUAGUAACUCAUUAGAUGACCAUAGUAACUUAUUAGAUGACCUUAGUAACUCAAGAGAUGACCAUAGUAACUUAUUAGAUGACCAUAGUAACUCAUUAGAUGACCACAGUAACUAAUUAGAUGACCAUAGUAACUCAUGAGAUGACCAUAGUAACUUUUGAGAUGACCAUAGUAACUAAAUAGAUGACCAUAGUAACUCAUGAGUUGACCAUAGUAACUCAUUAGAUGACCACAGUAACUAAUUAGAUGACCAUAGUAACUAGUACAUCAUGCAGAUUCCAAGCAUUGAAAGACUUAGUAUAGUUGAAGACUUAUGGUCAUCACUGCACAUCAUAAUGGCAGCUACACUUUCCAUAUUAAACAUCUAAAAUAAUUAUUUUGGAAUGUCCGGCGGGCCAGAUUGAAAAGUUUAACGGACCGCAUGUGGCCCCCGGGCCUUAAUUUGCCCAGGUCUGAUCUAUACUGUGUGUUUUUUUUCUUUCUUAGUUUUUAGACGCCUCUCAUCUAAACGCUUACACGAUUCAUGGUUUUGUCUGUCUGACACUGGUUUCUCACCCAGGUUUUUGCAAAGGUCACAGCGCCAUCGCAGGUUGUCUCCUAUUUUUGACGCCGUUGCUUCAACAGUGUUUCAUAACAGACAGUUGAUAAAUGAAUGGGGGAGAAAAAAAAAAAACAUUGAUCGCCCGCGCUAUGUUUUUCAUGUAAAACGUGAGCGUGUGACGUAUCUGCUGACAAUCACGCAUGCUUCAGCCUGGACAUGUUCCAGGUGUCUUCUGAACUCCUGCUUCACAAACUCCACAAUCUUACCUGAAAUCCAUCCUCAGGGCUGUCCUAUGCCAGUGAAUCAUCUGUAUUUAUGUCUAUUUUAGUGCACACCAUCUGCUCCUUAAUGAAGUUCUGUGCCACCAUCUCCUCACUUUCCCCACCUAACACCACCCUGACCCAAACUAACAGUUGCCGUGCCCCGAGUGUCGUCUUACAGGCAGUGGGAGGACGAGUGCAGCGUUUGGUGUACCACAACUCCUCCAUGAGGAAGUGGACAGCAAGUGCCGGAGGGCGUCACGUUUGGCACCGAGGGGAACUCUAAGCGACUAUCUGCGAGAAGCAGCUGGCCGACCAAGAUGGCGGUCGGAGAUAUAUGGGCGCACGGUGACGGAAGGAUGCAUAAAAGGUCUCGGGGACGCAGCUCGGACUUGCAGGUCAGACAGGAGCCCGGCCAAAUGUGAGGCACAACUCCUCCUCCUGGGUUAAACCGCAGCUCCACAGCACUCGUGCCUGUUGGGGAAAUGUCAGUCCAGUUUCCCAGAGGGAAAGGAUGAUGCCCUGCUUCACACUCGUGCAACCCCAGACCAUGAUGCUGCCACCAUGCUGGACUGGUGGUGACAGUCCCUCAAUGAACUGUACCGGCAGCACUCAUGCAGCUCCAGACCAGCAUUAGUGAUGGAGAUGACAGUGAAGCUUUACCAUUGGCCUGUGGAGAACUGGGACAACAGAGACUCUUACCAGGAGGACUUUGAGUUGGAUACGCAGACGCGUUACCCAGGACUUCCUUCUCUGGCGCAUUGAUUUCCAUUUCCAGAGCAGCGCACAUCCGACUUCCGGCAU